rnacentral:rRNA from 1 species
AACAGGCUUAUCUCCCCCAAGAGUCCACAUCGACGGGGAGGUUUGGCACCUCGAUGUCGGCUCAUCACAUCCUGGGGCUGUAGUAGGUCCCAAGGGUUGGGCUGUUCGCCCAUUAAAGUGGUACGCGAGCUGGGUUCAGAACGUCGGGAGACAGUUCGGUCCCUAUCCGUCGCAGGCGUAGGAAAUUUGAGAAGACCUGUCCUUAGUACGAGAGGACCGGGAUGGACGUACCUCUGGUGUACCAGUUGUCCUGCCAAGGGCAUGGCUGGGUAGCUAUGUACGGAAUGGAUAAGCGCUGAAAGCAUCUAAGCGCGAAG